rnacentral:tRNA from 1 species
AAUUGAUUGGCUGAACGAAUAAGUUUGUGUCUUGAAAACACAAUAAAAAGGUUUAACUCCUUUAUCAAUUU